GUAGGGUGCAAGCGUUAAUCGGAAUUACUGGGCGUAAAGCGUGCGCAGGCGGUUAUGCAAGACAGAGGUGGAAUCCCCGGGCUCAACCUGGGAACUGCCUUUGUGACUGCAUGGCUAGAGUACGGUAGAGGGGGAUGGAAUUCCGCGUGUAGCAGUGAAAUGCGUAGAUAUGCGGAGGAACACCGAUGGCGAAGGCAAUCCCCUGGACCUGUACUGACGCUCAUGCACGAAAGCGUGGGGAGCAAACAGGAUUAGAUACCCUGGUAGUCCACGCCCUAAACGAUGUCAACUGGUUGUUGGGAGGGUUUCUUCUCAGUAACGUAGCUAACGCGUGAAGUUGACCGCCUGGGGAGUACGGCCGCAAGGUUG
rnacentral:rRNA from 1 species